rnacentral:rRNA from 1 species
UGGGGAAUAUUGCACAAUGGGCGCAAGCCUGAUGCAGCCAUGCCGCGUGUAUGAAGAAGGCCUUCGGGUUGUAAAGUACUUUCAGCGAGGAGGAAGGCGUUAAGGUUAAUAACCUUGGCGAUUGACGUUACUCGCAGAAGAAGCACCGGCUAACUCCGUGCCAGCAGCCGCGGUAAUACGGAGAGUGCAAGCGUUAAUCGGAAUUACUGGGCGUAAAGCGCACGCAGGCGGUCUGUCAAGUCGGAUGUGAAAUCCCCGGGCUCAACCUGGGAACUGCAUUCGAAACUGGCAGGCUAGAGUCUUGUAGAGGGGGGUAGAAUUCCAGGUGUAGCGGUGAAAUGCGUAGAGAUCUGGAGGAAUACCGGUGGCGAAGGCGGCCCCCUGGACAAAGACUGACGCUCAGGUGCGAAAGCGUGGGGAGCAAACAGGAUUAGAUACCCUGGUAGUCCACGCCGUAAACGAUGUCGACUUGGAGGUUGUGCCCUUGAGGCGUGGCUUCCGGAGCUAACGCGUUAAGUCGACCGCCUGGGGAGUACGGCCGCAAGGUUA